CUGAAGUACUGCUUCUGCCAUCUAUGCACCGAACUCUUCCCACUUUGGAUUUUUACAGACUGAAACACACACUGAUCCUAUUGUGUCAAUGUUUCCGUUUAAACAGCCUUUGCUGAUCCUGCCAUGCACAACUCAAAGGAACCAGAAAAAUCCAUCUGAAACACCUCUUUCCCAGCAACACAAGAGUUAAAUUCUACAAAAUCAUCUUUGUGGACUCACAGAGAAAAAGUUUUAAAAUGAAGAUGACUGGGACCAGCAUUGUGGCAUAAUGGUUUAAAAGCUGCUGCCUGCAACACUAGCAUCCUAUUUAGACACCGAUUUGAGUCCCAGCUGCUCCACUUCUGAUCCAGCUCCCUUGCUAAUGUGUCUGGGAAAGCAGUGGAAAAUGGCUCAAGUCCUUGAGCUUCUAUACCCAUAUGGGAGACCAGGAUGAAGUCCUGGUUUCAGCCUGGCCUAGCACUGGCCAUUGCAGCCAUUUGGUUAGUAAACAAGUGGAUGGCAGAUCUCUCUCUCUCUCUCUCUCUCUCUUUAACUCUGCCUUGCAAAUAUUUUUUUUUUAAAUGAUGAUUUCUUUAACAAAAUUUAGGUUCUAACUGGCAUUAAUUUUUGCCAGAACAAUGCACUAAAUGAAUAAUGGAAUUUCGAUUCACUUUCAAAAUACUCUUCAAUAAGAAAAAAAAUGCCAAAGUAAAAUUUCUUCAAAUAUAACAAAAUUCAAUCUAGAAACAUAUGACAUGAUACUCUUAAGAGCACAAACUCAAAAUCUGUUCCCCUGUUCUUUGUCUUUACAUAACGUGAAAUCGCACAUUUCUUUAAUGUAAGAUGUGCUCAGAGCAAGGGAAAUUUUUACUGUGGAAAGAACUCAAAGUGGAAAGUACUACCAUAACACUACCUUAAGAAGCACUGUCUGCUCAAGAGAAGGUACCAUUCUAUAUGCUAUUUUAACACACUGAGAGAAAAACUGAAAAUCACAUCAAUGACAGAAUAGUGAUGUUUUCACAUAUGAACACAUUAAUUUCCUUCUCCUACCUU